rnacentral:rRNA from 1 species
UACAGAGGUCUCAAGCGUUGUUCGGAUUCAUUGGGCGUAAAGGGUGCGUAGGCGGUCUGUUACGUCUGCUGUGAAAACCCAGGGCUUAACCCUGGGCUUGCAGUGGAUACGGGCAGACUAGAGGCAGGUAGGGGAGAAUGGAAUUCCCGGUGUAGCGGUGAAAUGCGCAGAUAUCGGGAGGAACACCGGUGGCGAAGGCGGUUCUCUGGGCCUGACCUGACGCUGAGGAGCGAAAGCGUGGGGAGCGAACAGG